rnacentral:rRNA from 1 species
AUACGUAGGUGACAAGCGUUAUCCGGAUUUACUGGGCGUAAAGGGCGUGUAGGCGGUCUUGCAAGUCCGGCGUGAAAGACCCCGGCCCAACCGGGGGGACGCGCUGGAAACUGCGGGGCUUGAGUACAGGAGGGGAUGCCGGAAUUCCAGGUGUAGGGGUGAAAUCUGUAGAUAUCUGGAAGAACACCAAUGGCGAAGGCAGGCAUCUGGCCAUGUACUGACGCUGAGACGCGAAGGUGCGGGGAGCAAACAGGUUUAGAUACCCUGGUAGUCCGCACAGUAAACGAUGUGCACCAGGUGGCGGGGGGUCGACCCUCGGUACCGUAGCUAACGCAUUAAGUGCACCGCCUGGGGAGUAUGCUCGCAAGGGUGAAACUCAAAGGAAUUGGCGGGG